UUUGGGCUCAAACCGUACACGGUGAUUAGGGCUCAUAUGGUUGGCCUGUGAUCCACGCUUGCUGUCCUAGUGCUGUUCUGCUGUUCGCCAAUUCAUUUAGCUCUCCGUCUCCCGACGAAGAUCAUUUUCUUCAUCGUCAUCCAGAAACGCUAUAAAUAAUGGCUGAUCCUGAGUUGGAAGCUAUCAGACAAAGAAGAAUGCAGGAGCUAAUGACCCAACAUGGAAUGGGAAAUCAACAGAACUCUGAUCAGAAAGCCCAGGAAGAAGCUAAAAGGAGGGAGGCAGACGAACAAAGGCAAAUGAUGCUAAGUCAGAUUCUGUCAUCUGAAGCACGAGAGAGACUUGCUCGAAUUGCUCUAGUGAAGCCUGAGAAGGCAAGAGGAGUUGAAGAUGUUCUGUUGAGAGCUGCUCAAGUGGGUCAGAUAGUUGAGAAGGUUUCUGAAGAGAGGCUCAUAUCCUUGCUUGAACAAAUUAACACUCAGACGACAAAACAAACUAAAGUCACGAUUCAGAGGCGACGGAGCGUUCUUGAAGAUGAUGACUAACUCUAGUUUGGAACAUUUUCUUCCAGUUUAUAGUGAUAUUUCACAUAAUGUGUGUGCUUGUGCUUUUGAUGGAUAGAGCCUUCAUUGCAACCUCUCGAUUUCUGAUUGUAUUCCCUUCGUUAUAGUUAUUGUAAUUCCUCUGUCAAAGAGCCUCUGGUUAAGUAUUGAGUGGGUCAUAGUCCUGAGCUAUGUGUGAUACUGCCAACUUGAAGGACAGUUUGAUUGUUGGGCCUUCAACUGCAGAUUCUUAACUUGAAGAAUCUUUUCAACAAAGUCUGGCCGAAGAAGGGAAGGAUGUUAGCAUUGCCUCUAAAAUUUUCUCUGUUGUGACCGUUCUUUUUAGUUUAUUCUUAAAGUUCCCAUUUUGAACUUCAAAAUGUUUAUGAAUUUUAACAUGUUUCAUUCUAGUUUGGUUGAGCUGAGAUACAUAUUAGUCCAACGGUUUUGAUUGUUUCACUUUGAUUUAAUAAACAGUUUGGAUCGGUUCAAUUAUUAGUUUAGUUGGGCCCCGAAAAAAAAUGUUGGGCAUACAAGUUAAAUGAAUUGCUUUAUGACUUCGUCACGUUCCAA